rnacentral:rRNA from 1 species
GAUGAACGCUGGCUACAGGCUUAACACAUGCAAGUCGAGGGGAAACGACGGGGAAGCUUGCUUCCCCGGGCGUCGACCGGCGCACGGGUGAGUAACGCGUAUCCAACCUGCCUCUGACUGAGGGAUAACCCGUCGAAAGUCGGCCUAAUACCUCAUGGCAUCGUCUGCGGGCAUCCAACGACGAUUAAAGAUUUCAUCGGUCAGGGAUGGGGAUGCGUCUGAUUAGCUUGUUGGCGGGGUAAUGGCCCACCAAGGCUACGAUCAGUAGGGGUUCUGAGAGGAAGGUCCCCCACAUUGGAACUGAGACACGGUCCAAACUCCUACGGGAGGCAGCAGUGAGGAAUAUUGGUCAAUGGGCGGGAGCCUGAACCAGCCAAGUAGCGUGCAGGAUGACGGCCCUAUGGGUUGUAAACUGCUUUUAUGCGGGGAUAAAGUGAGGGACGUGUCCUUCAUUGCAGGUACCGCAUGAAUAAGGACCGGCUAAUUCCGUG